AACUCCCUGUCGAUUCCAGAAGAGCGGGAAUUUGAGUACUGAGUCGCAGGGCGGGCGGCGGCUGGGGCGGACGGAUAUCAUACAGCGGAUCAGCAUCUUGGACAGUAACACCUGCUCUGAAGGCAGAACCUUACUGCGAAGAGAUUCUCAAGUGAUCCAGGUUAUAGUCCCCUGUCAGUAUGUUCGCUUGUCUUCGCAAGACGUCUCCAAACGGAUGCAGGCCUCUGGACAACACGAAGUAGAACACACAUCCCAGAGAAAACAUGUCCACUGAGGUCGUCUGUUAUAAAUAAAUAUAUAUAUAUAUAUGAUGAUUAAUAAAUUCCAUCAUUACUCAUUAUUUGAAUAUCGAAAAGUAAUUCAUUGAUAUUAAUGGUAAGAAUUUAAAAAUUAUCAGGUUUUAUCAAGUAAAAAAUAAAAUUAUUGCAUGCUAAAAAUGGAUCCGCUCGUGACGACGUAUUUUUCGUUCUAGAUUUUUCUAUUUGAUUCUUAAUUCAAAUAACAAUCUAUAUAAUCAAGGUCUCAGAUUUAAAAAAAAAAUAAUAUGUAUGAAAAAUGAAAUCAAUUGAAUCGACCUCGAGACGCCACAACAGAUAAAAAAUGGAAAUUUAUAGUGAUGUUUAUUAUAAAAAUAAUUUAAUUGUUAAAAGAUUCGAAUAAACUGUUUUAAUAAUGUU